CAGGCUGCCUCGGUGCCGACGGCCGCGGACGUCCGAGCUGCGGUGAGGGCAGCACAUCAGAAGGCGAUCCGGGUGGGGCAGGACGCGGCAGUUUGACAAGGUCGGAGGCGCCUGGAAGACGCUGCACCUAGCUGCAUCCCCACAGACCACACGGUUUCACGUGAGGUGAAGCAUUGCUGCCAUUCUACCGCCUCAGCCGAGUGGCUCCUCACUUAGGUGCCUUAUGUAUACACGGCCUACGUGUGCUAAGUGUGUGGUGCAGAAACGAUGCACGGGGGCCUGAGCCAAGGCGUGUCGAAUGUCCCCACGUGUCCUGCAUGGACAGUUCUAGAAGACAUAUUUUGGUAGAAAGGGCUGGACUGUGGUUGUGUGAGGACAAAUAUGACACCACAUUUCCUCCCUACACUUGAAUCAUCUGACGACCAGAAGCCCCUUUGCUCUGUGGUUGUAAGCGCCUUUGUCUCAGAAGAUCUUCCAAGUCCUGACGAAGGAGCCCGUUCGGGCCUCUGGUGCCGCAGCAGGGGCCAUAUCCGUCGGAGCUCGGGCACCCUGGCCACAGGCCGGCUGGCACCACAGUGAACCAUGACCUGGGCUCCUGGCUGCUUCCACUGGACUACAAGCACUGCAAAUCAUCUGUGCGUCCCCCAACCCUAAGUGGGGCUUGUUACAGUCUGUUCCUGAUAAUCAUUCACUGAAUCCAAUGGGCGCAGAACUGGAAAAAGCAGCCAAAAAACAAAAACAAAAACCAGUGAUCUUCUCUGUGGCCAAGUUUCACCUUUAUUCUUGAUGGAAGAGAGGAGUGUUUCCUGGCCCUGAGUUUUCCCCGUGACGGGACCGGUGCACUGUGGGGGUGGAAUCUUCCAAGGCACCGGAGCCACGGCUGUGCUGAGAAGCCUUGGGGAAGAGGGUCUCCCCCUGAACUGCUGCUUGGUGCAGAGUCUGUGACUCUCAGGGAGGCUUCUCUGUUCUAAGAUGUGACUGUCUGAGGUUAUGAGAGACGCAUCGAGUUCUAAGUGCCAUCUGGCCUUUGCUGUCAUAGAACUGACUGCCCCAAACCAGUCCGUGUGGACAGUGCACAGACCGUGGUAUGCACAGGUCUGUGUUACAACAGAAAACGUCUGUGAUACUCAGAAGAAAAGUAAUGAAAUGUUUUGUGAUACCAGAUUUUACCCUGAACAUUAUGAUGAUGUUCUACAUCUUCCUGUUUAACAAUGAGACCAAAGGAAUAACGUGUA